CCUAUCCACUCUUGUUGUCUUCCACUUGAUUCAGGGGGUCUGGAUUCACAGAAGGAUGAUCAAGACUCAGAAGUUCUCUCAGACAACCUCUCUGGAGGGCUCCCCAAAAAGAAGAGACCUGAGCCCUGCUUCUGUGUCAUACAGAUUUGGCCUCCCAGAGACCUUCCUGUUUUCACCCUUAAGCUUAACCUUCUAUCCCUGUGGAAGAUUGCCCAGCAGUAUCUUUGGGACAGACUGACAAAAGGCACAAAGAAUUCUCACAUUGAAAUAAAAUCUACCCAGAAGACUUCA
rnacentral:lncRNA from 1 species